rnacentral:rRNA from 1 species
UACAGAGGUCCCAAGCGUUGUUCGGAUUCACUGGGCGUAAAGGGUGCGUAGGUGGCGAGGUAAGUCGGAUGUGAAAUCUCGGAGCUUAACUCCGAAAUGGCAUUGGAUACUAUCUUGCUCGAGGGUUGGAGGGGGGACUGGAAUACUUGGUGCAGCAGUGAAAUGCGUAGAUAUCAAGUGGAACACCAGUGGCGAAGGCGAGUCCCUGGACAACUCCUGACACUGAGGCACGAAAGCUAGGGGAG